rnacentral:rRNA from 1 species
UUCUAACGUGGACCCGUAAUCCGGGUUGCGGACAGUGUCUGGUGGGUAGUUUGACUGGGGCGGUCUCCUCCUAAAGAGUAACGGAGGAGCACGAAGGUUGGCUAAUCCUGGUCGGACAUCAGGAGGUUAGUGCAAUGGCAUAAGCCAGCUUGACUGCGAGCGUGACGGCGCGAGCAGGUGCGAAAGCAGGUCAUAGUGAUCCGGUGGUUCUGAAUGGAAGGGCCAUCGCUCAACGGAUAAAAGGUACUCCGGGGAUAACAGGCUGAUACCGCCCAAGAGUUCAUAUCGACGGCGGUGUUUGGCACCUCGAUGUCGGCUCAUCACAUCCUGGGGCUGAAGUAGGUCCCAAGGGUAUGGCUGUUCGCCAUUUAAAGUGGUACGCGAGCUGGGUUUAGAACGUCGUGAGACAGUUCGGUCCCUAUCUGCCGUGGGCGCUGGAGAACUGAGGGGGGCUGCUCCUAGUACGAGAGGACCGGAGUGGACGCAUCACUGGUGUUCGGGUUGUCAUGCCAAUGGCACUGCCCGGUAGCUAAAUGCGGAAGAGAUAAGUGCUGAAAGCAUCUAAGCACGAAACUUGCCCCGAGAUGAGUUCUCCCUGAGACUUAGAGUCUCCUGAAGGAACGUUGAAGACGACGACGUUGAUAGGCCGGGUGUGUAAGCGCAGCGAUGCGUUGAGCUAACCGGUACUAAUGAACCGUGAGGCUUAACCUU